UCUCUCUCGGGGGAAAAUCUCGCUGGGGCCUCCAAAUGUUAUGGCACGAACAAUUCUGAGACCCACAGAGCCAGUUGAGAUUAAUUACGAGCCUUUAUUAG
rnacentral:miRNA from 1 species